UUUGGUGGUAUUAUUUUGUGUCUAUUUGGGUGGGCACAAGAGUGCCUUGGCAUGCAUGUGGAGGUCAGAAGACCAUUCUUCCUCCCUAUGCGUCCUGAAGAGUCAGCUAGAGCAGCAAGUGCCUUUACCUACAGAACCAUCUUGCUGGGCCCAUGUUUUGUUUUGGGGAAUGUGGUUUUGCGCCUGCAAACCUUCAGGUGUCACGAGAUAACCAGGAGACUACUCCUAUUCCUAUGGCUUCCAGCAAUGGAGCCUGCACUGGGGUUCACUGAGUUACCUCCCCUCCCCUUUGUGAGCCUCUCUAGAGAGUAGGGGCUAGCCUGGGAUUCACUGUGCCACCCAAAUGGCCUCCAAAACUGGCAGUCCUUGUGCCCUGCCUCCUAAGUACUAAGGCAUGGUGAGCACCACGCCUGGAACUCACUGUUGAUUACACUGUAAUUCUGGACUUGGGUGGGCUUCUCCUGUAAGAGCAGCCCCUCUCUGCUCUAAGGACCCAGGCUACUGACUCUGCUUUGUCUCGCCAG
rnacentral:lncRNA from 1 species